AAAGUAGGCUAAUAAUAAAACGCAUUAUGUUAAUGACUUACUGGUCAUAAAAGCAAACAAUCGAAUGUACUAUGGGCCUAAUAUUUUCAUGAGAGAAUGUGCACGUGACCCUGCAGCCCGGUGCCAGUUACAUUUCUAUUUACAUGGAGACCGGGGACAAUCAGGACAUUUAUCUCCCUUAGUCACUAGUCGCCCCUUCCCCCAGCCCUCUUCCCCCCUCAUCCCAAAAGACAUGAAAAAACGUUUUCAUUAUCAACUGCUAUCUGUUGCUGAAAGCGGCUAUUUUUAAAACAUGAUGUCACAGCGUCUAGAAUGCUACAUUGUUCGGUUGCAGAGAACACUCAAUGGAUUCUUCAGUUCUAGCUGUUUCUACAUGUUAAGUGAACACGAAGUAAUCUCCCCUUUUCAUCUCGUAUCUUCUUUUACCCGUUUUCAGAACUGUCACUUGAUCCCUCGGGAAAUUUCUGUGAGUUUAUAUUGCUUCCUGACCUUCAAUUAAUUUGCAUUUUCAUAUAUUGUAUGUGCGUAUAGCUAUCUCCUUCCUUUAUAGGACUUCAAGUUACCACCUUUAUAACUCCAACUCAGAAGAAUAUUCCUAUUACAGAAGCAUAUAUUUGUAUAUUUAAGCGACAUUUCCCUGUUCUAAACCUAAACCUGACCUGUGUCUUUGCAGAUUUUUCCCAAACCUCCUCACCUUGCCGACCAUCUCGUGCUGGUCCUGUAGCUCUCAACUUGGAUGACGUCUCCUCCAGGAAGUUUAUCUGACUGUCCCCAAACCAGGUGGGGAAACCACAUUUCGGAGAAGUUAAGGAACUUUCCCAGGAAUAUGCAGUAAGCAAACUGUGAAUUCAAAUCCAGUUCAUACUUCUGUCCUGACCUUUCUACAACAGAAAAAGUGUUUCGUUCAUUUGA